rnacentral:rRNA from 1 species
UACAGAGGGUGCGAGCGUUGUUCGGAAUUACUGGGCGUAAAGCGCGUGUAGGCGGGUCUUUUAAGUCAGGGGUGAAAUGCCAAGGCUCAACCUUGGAACUGCCUUUGAUACUGGAGAUCUUGAGUCCGGGAGAGGUGAGUGGAACUGCGAGUGUAGAGGUGAAAUUCGUAGAUAUUCGCAAGAACACCAGUGGCGAAGGCGGCUCACUGGCCCGGUACUGACGCUGAGGUGCGAAAGCGUGGGGAGCAAACAGG